GGGAGGAGGCCGGAUCUUGGGCUGUGUCCCGGUGCCCUGUACACCCGGUCUGCGCUGUUGGAUUCGGGCUCCCGGCCGCGCAGCCGCCU
rnacentral:pre_miRNA from 1 species